GUUGAUACUCGUUCUUCUUGCUCUUGCAGGUGAUCACGCAGACGCUGAGCAUCCCAAAAAACUUUAUGAUAGCAAAACCCAGGAUGACCAGCAUUGCAUAGCUGAGCACAUCUUGAAGCACCUGCUCCAGUUUAGCUUCACACCCCUGUGUGUUCAGCAGAUCUGGCUGGGAGAGCUGACCAGUGCACUGCGUCAUGUUUGC
rnacentral:misc_RNA from 1 species